CUGGUUCUCCGGGUUGCAGACAUCGGCAUUGGCUAUAGCUGCAUAGUUUGCUUCUGGGAUGACUCGCGCCGCGCGCAUUUGGUUGAUAUAUAUGCAUGCGGUGGGCCUGCGUGAUGUCACCAUGUGCACGGCGCGACCAAUCCCGAGGCGAAGGCAGGGUCUCCAAUUCACUGUUGACGCGGCCCGCUUGGGGUGCGUGCCGCAUCGUCAUGGAGAUCUAUGACACACCGCCAUCAUUGGCCAGGUAUGUCAUGUGACUAGAUCCAGCCAAUGAGGCAAAGCAGAGGGGUUUAAAAGGACGCCAGGGGGAUUACAUGGCGUCAUUCCCUCUCCUCUGCUAAUCAGUGGAGGAGUUGUAUGCAGAUCUGCCGAUUUAUUAGGUGGAACUUUUUGAGAGGUCUCUGGACGUUUCUCCCCCCUUUUUUAAGGAACAUCUGUUUAGGCCUCUGUUGUGGUGAGUCUAGUAACUCCUUUCUGUCUAUGGGACAUUACCUCAUAGUCAAUUUUUUUUAAUUUAUAAGUUCCCUCCUAUGUUUUUUAUCAUUCAGCAGACCUUUAUAGGUGCCAUUUUAUUGGAUAAGUUAUCCGGAUCCCUUAUGGGAGGUUGGGCAUGUUGGAGGUGCACAGAGAGACCGUACAAGGGGAAUCUAUAUCAGCAUUGUGACUUCCAUGGGAAGUGUAUAUGCUUUAAUGAAGACAAAGAUACAAAUUAAAUAUCCCUGAGGAAGAACUAUCUUUUAACUGUUUGAAACGCGUUGGUUAAAGCCAUCGUUCAACUGUCUCUAGAAGAUCUGGAGGUUUUGAAUCCUGGCUAUUGUAUCAUUUGUUCAUCAUUCAGCUACUUUAUGGUUUUAAUGUUUGCAACAUAAUACAUGUAUUGUAUAUAAUGAUUUUUUUUGUACAAAUAAAUUAUUAUUUUUUUA